rnacentral:rRNA from 1 species
AUACGUAGGGUGCAAGCGUUAAUCGGAAUUACUGGGCGUAAAGCGUGCGCAGGCGGUUUUGUAAGACAGUGGUGAAAUCCCCGGGCUCAACCUGGGAACUGCCAUUGUGACUGCAAGGCUGGAGUGCGGCAGAGGGGGAUGGAAUUCCGCGUGUAGCAGUGAAAUGCGUAGAUAUGCGGAGGAACACCGAUGGCGAAGGCAAUCCCCUGGGCCUGCACUGACGCUCAUUCCCGAAAGCGUGGGGAGCAAACAGGAUUAGAUACCCUGGUAGUCCACGCCCGAAACGAUGUCAACUGGUUGUUGGGGAUUUAUUUUCUCAGUAACGAAGCUAACGCGUGAAGUUGACCGCCUGGGGAGUACGGCCGCAAGGUUAAAACUCAAAUGAAUUGACGGGG